UACGUAGGGUGCAAGCGUUGUCCGGAAUUAUUGGGCGUAAAGAGCUCGUAGGCGGUCUGUCGCGUCGGCUGUGAAAUCCCGAGGCUCAACCUCGGGUCUGCAGUCGAUACGGGCAAACUGGAGUACUGCAGGGGAGACUGGAAUUCCUGGUGUAGCGGUGAAAUGCGCAGAUAUCAGGAGGAACACCGGUGGCGAAGGCGGUUCUCUGGGCAUUACCUGACGCUGAGGAGCGAAAGCGUGGGGAGCGAACAGG
rnacentral:rRNA from 1 species